rnacentral:rRNA from 1 species
AGCGUAGACGGUGUGGCAAGUCUGAUGUGAAAGGCAUGGGCUCAACCUGUGGACUGCAUUGGAAACUGUCAUACUUGAGUGCCGGAGGGGUAAGCGGAAUUCCUAGUGUAGCGGUGAAAUGCGUAGAUAUUAGGAGGAACACCAGUGGCGAAGGCGGCUUACUGGACGGUAACUGACGUUGAGGCUCGAAAGCGUGGGGAGCAAACA